rnacentral:rRNA from 1 species
CAGCCGCCGCGGGAAUACAGAGGGUGCGAGCGUUAAUCGGAUUUACUGGGCGUAAAGCGUGCGUAGGCGGCUUCUUAAGUCGGAUGUGAAAUCCCUGAGCUUAACUUAGGAAUUGCAUUCGAUACUGGGAAGCUAGAGUAUGGGAGAGGAUGGUAGAAUUCCAGGUGUAGCGGUGAAAUGCGUAGAGAUCUGGAGGAAUACCGAUGGCGAAGGCAGCCAUCUGGCCUAAUACUGACGCUGAGGUACGAAAGCAUGGGGAGCAAACAGGAUUAGAUACCCCCGUAGUCCCUGUCCUUAUACA